rnacentral:snRNA from 1 species
GUGCUCGCUUUGGCGGCACAUAUACUAAAACUGGAACGAUACAG